CGAGAGACUUGAGGACGUGAUUCGAAUCCUGAGGUCGCCUCCCCAUGAUGUGGGGCAGGUGAGCCGAGGAGUAGAAAGAAAGGUUUCUUGGGGUCUCAAGGUC
ensembl:miRNA